rnacentral:rRNA from 1 species
UACGUAGGGCGCAAGCGUUGUCCGGAAUUAUUGGGCGUAAAGAGCUCGUAGGCGGCUUGUCACGUCGAUUGUGAAAGCCCCGAGGCUUAACCUCGGGUCUGCAGUCGAUACGGGGCUAGCUAGAGUGUGGUAGGGGGAGAUCGGAAUUCCUGGUGUAGCGGUGAAAUGCGCAGAUAUCAGGAGGAACACCGGUGGCGAAGGCGGAUCUCUGGGCCAUUACUGACGCUGAGGAGCGAAAGCGUGGGGAGCGAACAGG